GCGCCCGUAGCUCAGCUGGAUAGAGCGUCUGCCUCCGGAGCAGAAGGUCGCGCGUUCGAAUCGCGCCGGGCGUA
rnacentral:tRNA from 1 species